CUUUGUUUAUUACACUUUGUUGCUUUGGCAAGCCUGCCCUCGGGCUGCUGGCUCCGGCCGGCGAGCGCUUGCCAGAGGACCUAAACUCUGUUUGUCUAUACUGUCUGAGUACUAUAUAAUAGUUAAAACUUUCAACAACGGAUCUCUUGGUUCUGGCAUCGAUGAAGAACGCAGCGAAAUGCGAUAAGUAAUGUGAAUUGCAGAAUUCAGUGAAUCAUCGAAUCUUUGAACGCACAUUGCGCCCCCUGGUAUUCCGGGGGGCAUGCCUGUCCGAGCGUCAUUACAACCCUCAAGCUCAGCUUGGUAUUGGGCCCCGCCGACCCGGCGGGCCCUAAAGUCAGUGGCGGUGCCGUCCGGCUCCGAGCGUAGUAAUUCUUCUCGCUCUGGAGGUCCGGUCGUGUGCUCGCCAGCAACCCCCAAUUUUUUUCAGGUUGACCUCGGAUCAGGUAGGGAUACCCGCUGAACUUAAGCAUAUCAAUAAGCGGAGGAAAAGAAACCAACAGGGAUUACCUCAGUAACGGCGAGUGAAGCGGUAACAGCUCAAAUUUGAAAUCUGGCCUCACGGUCCGAGUUGUAAUUUGUAGAGGAUGCUUCGAGCAUGGUCUGGCCUAAGUUCCUUGGAACAGGACGUCAUAGAGGGUGAGAAUCCCGUAUGCGGCCAGGUGCCUACGCUCAUGUGAAGCUCCUUCGACGAGUCGAGUUGUUUGGGAAUGCAGCUCAAAAUGGGUGGUAAAUUUCAUCUAAAGCUAAAUAUUGGCCAGAGACCGAUAGCGCACAAGUAGAGUGAUCGAAAGAUGAAAAGCACUUUGGAAAGAGAGUUAAACAGUACGUGAAAUUGUUGAAAGGGAAGCGCUUGCAACCAGACUUGCGCGCGGCCGAUCAUCCGGUGUUCUCACCGGUGCACUCGGCCGUGCUCAGGCCAGCAUCGGUUUUGGCGGCUGGAUAAAGGCCCUAGGAAUGUGGCUCCUCUCGGGGAGUGUUAUAGCCUAGGGUGCAAUGCAGC
rnacentral:rRNA from 1 species